rnacentral:rRNA from 1 species
GGGGAAUCUUGCGCAAUGGACGAAAGUCUGACGCAGCGACGCCGCGUGGGUGAUGAAGGCCUUCGGGUUGUAAAGCCCUGUGGGGAGAGAAGAAUAAAGCGUGGCUAAUAUCCACGCCGAUGACGGUAUCUCCUUAGCAAGCACCGGCUAACUCUGUGCCAGCAGCCGCGGUAAGACAGAGGGUGCAAACGUUGUUCGGAAUUACUGGGCGUAAAGCGUGUGUAGGCGGUUCUGUAAGUCGGAUGUGAAAGCCCCGGGCUCAACCCAGGAAGUGCAUUCGAUACUGCAGAGCUAGAGUAUCGGAGAGGUUGGUGGAAUUCUCGGUGUAGAGGUGAAAUUCGUAGAUAUCGAGAGGAACACCGGUGGCGAAGGCGGCCAACUGGACGAAUACUGACGCUGAGACACGAAAGCGUGGGGAGCAAAC